rnacentral:rRNA from 1 species
GAUGAACGCUGGCGGCGUGCCUAACACAUGCAAGUCGAACGGGAACCUCACAGUGGAGACUUCGGCCAAAGCAGUGAGAAUUCUAGUGGCGGAUGGGUGAGUAACGCGUGGGUAACCUGCCUAUAAGAAUUGGAUAACAGUGAGAAAUCACUGCUAAUACAAUAUAAGCCCACAGGACCGCAUGGUCCAGGGGGAAAAGAUUCAUCGCUACGAGAUGGACCCGCGUUUGAUUAGUUAGUUGGCGGUGUAACGGACCACCAAGACGACGAUCAAUAGCCGGACUGAGAGGUUGAACGGCCACAUUGGGACUGAGACACGGCCCAAACUCC